rnacentral:lncRNA from 1 species
CCGACUAAUUAUAACAAAAAAAAGUUAAGUGAAAUCUUAAUCGAUUAUUUCACAAAUUACAUCGUAAAGAAAAGUGAAAGAUAUCUCCAAGAAUCAUGGUAACAACUAAUAUUCGAUAUUUCACCCUUAACAGACUCUCCUCUUCUGAGCUGACCCGCCGGAGAUGGUAUUUGACGAUGAUAAUGCGGCAGAGGCGGCAGUUGAUGAUGAUGGCCAUAAAGAAAGCAUUUGUUGAAAUGCAAAGAGUGAAUGAGCUUUUUGUUAAACAAGACUCGUGAUUUCCAGAUUAUGCGAGUUUACGCUCCGUCGUGUAACCACAUCCAAAAUUUAAUGUCUCGAGCGAGAGAGAUUUGAAAGUUGAGUGUGUGAAUUUGUGGCAAUGAAUGUAAGGAUGAUAAAAU